GCUGCAACAGCUCAGUUGGUAAAGCAUUGGACUUGUACUUCAAGGAUUGCAGGUUUGAUAUAUACCUAGGCCAGUUCUGGUUUGCUGCA